AGAGGAGCCAGAGGAGGGGGAUGGGGGCUGCAAAGGAGGAACGCGAUAGGGAAAAGGGGGAGGAGCCAGAGGCGAGGGGGCGGGGAGAAGAAACAUGGCAGGAGAAAGGGGAGGAGCCAGAGGCGAAGAGACAGGAAGAGGGACGCGUCAGGGAGAAGGGGAGGAGUCAGAGGCGAGCGGGCGUGGAGGAGGGAAGCGGCAGGGAGAAGGGGCGGGGCCAGAGGCGAAGGGGCGGGGAGGAGGGACGCGGCAGGGAGAAGGGGAGGAGCCAGAGGCGGAGGCUGUUACCAACUGGCUACCUAGAUCCAAGUGAAUCAGGACACUAACUUCUCUCCAAGAUCUUUUACACUUGUGAAACGGCACAGCUCUCUAAACCAAACACUGACAGCAGUUUAAUUUUACAGAUAUAAAAAAAAUCCGAGUCAGAGAAAUCAUCACGAUGAAGUCAGAGGCGAGAAACUGUCAGUGUAUACAGAGUCUUGCUCUGUCGCCCAGGUUGAAGUGCAGUGGUUCGAUCUCGGCUCAAUGCAACCUCUACCUCCCUGGCUCCCGCGAUUCUCCUGCCUCAGCCUCCUGAGUAGCUGAGAUUACAGGCGCCCGCCACCACCCCCGGCUAAUUUUGGUAUUUUUAGUAGAGAUGGGGUUUCACCAUGUUGGCCAGGCUGAUCUGGAACUCCUAGCCUCAAGCAAUCCGCCUUCAAAAGUGUUGGGGAUUACAGGAGUGAGCCACCGCGCCCGGCCUAUCAAUGAAUAAGAAAACUUUUAAAGAACCACAGGAUAGUAUUGGAGGUCAAGUCAAGUAUGUUCCUCUUGGAAAUUUAGUAACAAACUACAUGUUGCUAUCUCAUAAUAGCAGCUAACAUUUAUGAAGUAUUCAUUGUCAUGAGGCACCGUACAUAGAUUUCUAAUUUAAUCCUUACAACGAUUUUAUUAGGGAGAAACUGCUAUUAGACCCAUUUUGUAAAUGAGAAAACUAAGGCACACAAAGUUUAAUGAGGGAACCAGGAUUAAACCUAAGCAAUCUAACUCCAGGUCCCAGAUUUUUUAACCAUUACAGUACUGUUUAAUUUGAUUUGAUAUGUUAAAAGGAUUAAUAAAAUUAAUACAGGUCCAUUCCCUUAUUCAUAAAUGUUCAUUGUCUUCAUUUAUUUCUUUAUACUGUUCUGCUGAAAUUGCACUCUCAUCUCCCCAAUAACUUUGUAAUAUCCAAUGC
rnacentral:lncRNA from 1 species